rnacentral:rRNA from 1 species
AUUGAACGCUGGCGGCACGCCUAACACAUGCAAGUCGAGCGGCAGCAUGAACUGUAGCAAUACAGUUUGAUGGCGAGCGGCGGACGGGUGAGGAACACGUAGGAACCUGCCCAAGAGAGGGGGAUAACUAAGGGAAACUUUAGCUAAUACCGCAUAAUCUCUGAGGAGAAAAGUUGCCCGCAAGGGUAGCACUUUUGGAGGGGCCUGCGUCCGAUUAGUUAGUUGGUGAGGUAAUGGCUCACCAAGACGAUGAUCGGUAACUGGUCUGAGAGGACGACCAGUCACACUGGGACUGAGACACGGCCCAGACUCCUACGGGAGGCAGCAGUGGGGAAUCUUGGACAAUGGGGGCAACCCUGAUCCAGCGAUGCCGCGUGGGUGAAGAAGGCCUUCGGGUUGUAAAGCCCUUUAGGCUGGGAAGAAGGGUGCGGGAUGAAUAAUCCUGUACUUUGACGGUACCAGCAGAAUAAGCACCGGCAAACUCUGUGCCAGCAGCCGCCGUAAAAC